UUAGCAUAAAAGGACGCCAACUUGAGGCAGCACCUGCUUAUAAACAGAAAGCGAUGAAAGGCUCGGGCAGCAGACUAAACAAGUGGAACUUCCUCUAUAGGUGAAAGGGCAAAUAACAAGCAUUUUUGCAGAGCCGCAGCUCUCUGGAUCACCUGGGCCGUCUUAUCCUGACUGGUCAACUGCGCAAGAAAUCAUGAAAAAAAGACAUAAAAGCCAGUUGAGAAAGAACAGAAACCAUCCAUUUUUGCUAAAUAUUUACAGAAACGUAAAAGGAAUAUUCCACAAUCCAUAAACUCCACGCUGACCCUGAUGAUGCAUGAGUCGUCCACCUGUCUGUUGUAGAACGGCAGGGAGGUCAUGGAGACAGAGCGCUUGUGGGAGGAGACCAGGUGAGGGUCAGCUGAUGCAGAAAAAGAAGAGGAGGAGGAGGA